UACGAAGGGUGCAAACGUUGCUCGGAAUUAUUGGGCGUAAAGCGCGCGUAGGCGGCUACUUAUGUCGGAUGUGAAAGCCCUUGGCUCAACUGAGGAAGUGCACCCGAAACUGAGUAGCUGGAGUACGAAAGAGGGUCGCGGAAUUCCCGGUGUAGAGGUGAAAUUCGUAGAUAUCGGGAGGAACACCGGUGGCGAAGGCGGGUCUCUGGGCCGAUACUGACGCUGAGGAGCGAAAGCGUGGGGAGCGAACAGG
rnacentral:rRNA from 1 species